UCACACGCACAUUUGACAGCAUGACAUCAUUCCAUACGAAGUUUUACAUUGUACCUGAAUAUAGAUACGUUUAGCUUUGUUCAGAGUCAAAUAUUUUUAACUUUGAUCAAUAAUAUCGCUAAAAAUAAUUUAUUUCAAAUAGAAAAUGUUAUAUAUUAUAAUAGUUGGUUUUAUGAUAAAUCUACUAACAUCGAUUUUAUGUUAUAAGUCUCUAUGAUUCUUUCACUAUUCGCAGUCAAAAUUGCAAAUGUUUGACUUUGAAAAAGUCUAAACGUAGCUGUAUUCUGAGACGGAGGGAGUAGUUGUUACUUCCGACAUAAUUUCCUCAUCAAAAGGCAAUUUUUGAGAAAGUCUAGCUUUCCUUAUGACACUGACAUAUUUACAUCAAAACACCAAAUGGCUGUAUCUAAUAAAUCAAGAUGAUAAUCUCAAACAGCCACAAAGUUAGAAAGCAAAUUUGCUUACAACGCAGGUGGGUCAGCGACUCAGUGUCUUCUACUUUAGGGCUGCUUUCUUGCAAUUUAAAAGGAACACAUCCCUGCUCAUCCUUCCCCUCCAUUCAUCAAGACGUGGCUUCAAGGUAAAACCACUGCUCGUUUCCUUCUCCAAAUUGCAAACCUCCAAGCCACUCCCUUCAGAUAUGCAACAAAAUUGUGUAGCCAAUUUAGCAUGCCUCCCUGGCUUGGACUUCACUAGCUUUUUCCUACCACAAAAUGAUCCCCACAUCUAUGAUUUCAGUCCACUGGACAUGGUUGAUCCAUACAACUGCAAUGGAAGUACCACCAUCAGCUCAAUGUCUGCUGAGACAGCAGACAAUCAAGAGAGGCACGGCAAUGAUGAGAGGAAGAAGAGAAGGUUAGCAUCAAACCGUGAGUCUGCAAGGAGGUCGCGUGUGAGGAAGCAGAGGCGCUUGAAUGACCUGUCGUCGCAGGUUGCAGAGCUCCUAGAUACAAAUCAGAGGCUUCUUAUUGAGCUCCACCACAUGAUCGCUAAGCAUGCUCGCAUAGUUCGUGAGAAUGCCAAGCUCAGAGAAGAAGCUGCUGACCUGCAGAAAAGGCUCGAUGAGAUGGAUGUAGAAGAAGCUGAAGCUGCACCACGGACCCCUGAGGUGGUUUAGUUUGAGAAAUCGUACAAUAUCGUGGUUAGUAGCCGUGUAGUACUGUUACGUAAAUAGAUAUAAUUCGGUGGUCAAUUUGUGGAAAGGGAGCAAAUAUAUAAGUACAUAGUAGAUUACAAGCUCUUUAUGUAUUCUUUCAUGAUUUUUUUUCUUUACCUGAUAUGCAUUGGUAUAGUCAAGCUCUAACCAAAACAUAGCAAGGCAUGUUUUUCGUCUAUAGAAACCUGACUAGUUGAUUCAGAGCAUUGCAAGGCAAUCCCUGACAGCACUUUCCCUGGGCAUUACUGGUUAGUGCUUUACCGGCAGCCUGACCUGCUUACCACAUUUCCCCCCUUAAUCUUUGUUUGUGCUGGUGUGCAUAGUGCAGUUACCAUUACGAUGCAGCAAUGUACUUCAGCAACAGCAAUGACAUGGAGUAUAUAGCAAUCAUGCAUAGCUGAGAAAACAGCAAGAAGGGCUCUGCUCCCUGGGCCCCUUGCAAGAUGCAAGGAGUACCUACCUGAUCUUGGGAAAUUAGAAGGAAAUUGUAUCCGGAUGGCAAAUAUGAUUAAAAUAUUGUAUGGAAACGUAAUCUGUCAACCGCAAGUUAACAACAUGAGCCAGAAUUUAGAAAGCCCUCUGUGUCCAUAACUAAUUAACUACCAAAAAAGAAAGAAAGAAAAUAUUGAGCUGAUCACCAACCAUUCAAGCAUAGUCAUUCCACAGAUACUGUUGCCAAUCUGACGAAGCUGCAUGCUUCAAGUUAUUAAACAAGAAAAGAAGACUCAAAAUCCUUCCUGCCUCAGGAGUCAGGAUCGAAUCACCCUGUACGCCCCCAACGGCCAACAGCGUGCUGAAUGCCACGCCCUUCCCAACUCAACGCAACGAAUGAUGCCUCACUGUUACCUCUCUUACGAAGAAGUCGGCUGCGCAGAUGCCGCCGCCGUCCAUCGGCCGCCGGCCGCCGCUGCCUCCCGGGGAAGCCGCGGGGUCAGUGGGCCACCUGUG
rnacentral:lncRNA from 1 species